UACAGAGGUCUCAAGCGUUGUUCGGAUUCAUUGGGCGUAAAGGGUGCGUAGGCGGCGCGGUAAGUCGGGUGUGAAAUCUCGGAGCUUAACUCCGAAACUGCAUUCGAUACUGCCGUGCUUGAGGACUGGAGAGGAGACUGGAAUUUACGGUGUAGCGGUGAAAUGCGUAGAGAUCAUGAGGAAGACCAGUGGCGAAGGCGGGUCUCUGGACAAUUCCUGACACUGAGACACGAAGGCCAGGGGAGCAAACGGG
rnacentral:rRNA from 1 species